CUGGUCUAUCAGAAUUCGACAUGUGCACGUGUCAAGCUGGCACUGUAUGUUGCCGAAAGGAAUAAAAUAAAAAGAACAUCAAGAUAAAAUAUUAUCAGCAUGGCAUCACUGCAAAUCUGAGUGACAGCACGAGUGAAACUCACACUGAUGAACUGUUGGUAUCCCACAGGGACACAGUUACUGCUUCCUUAGGCCAAAGACUCUCUCAGCUCUGUGAGGCAAAUAACCAGAGGCUUCAAUCCCCAAAUUUCCAUGAUCUGCUCAGAUAACACAGUUUCCCAGAAAUUCUGGAAUUCAGGGCUUUUUCUACUGCUGAUUUGGAACAGAGGAUGUGAAGAAACCACAGGUUCCAAGUGCUACAAGGCAGCCACAGCUUUCUGAUGGUUUGUGACUCCAGGGAGAGGAGACCCCAAAGCUUUGGGGCUGCCUUAUAUUGGAGCAUCCUACACUAAUGAUUCUUGUUCAUAAAUUGGUCUUUACUGUGAAUAUUUCAAGGCACUGCUGCAGAGCAAAAAGGAUUGACAGAACAAAUACAAAGUCCAGUUUCCCCUUCGUUUAGACACAAAGAUGAUGUUUUAUUUCUGAAACACUCUCAAGUAUUUACUUCAGCAAGUUCUCUUUGGAAUUCUUGAGGUGUGAAAACAUUAUGCAUUAAAAAAAAAGAAAAAAAAAAAAGAAUGUGAAUUAAAAUGAUGAUCAAAAAAAGAGAGAUUACUUCCACAAUGUGAUUCUCCUUCAUUCAAGUUAUUCAACCCUUUCUUUGCUGUGUUUAAGCCAUGUCCAUGUGUACAAAAUGAGACCACUGCUCCUGCUUUCCUUGAGAUUUACAAGAAAUUAUUGCUGGUAAUGGGCUAAAAUUGCUCCAUGCCAUGGCAGUACAUGCGUAGUUCACAUUAGUUUGUCAUCUAAAGUAGGCUUAA